CAUCCGUCAAAAUGGAUUGCCAAAAUCCGACCCGUUUUGAAUUUUGGAUUCUAACCCUAGAAGCCCGAGAGCUUCGCAAAAUAAUUAACCGUUUAAUUCGUUAUAAACUCAUUAGUUUAAUUAACUAAAUUGACUAAUGUUACAAUUAAAAGUCUUAUUUUCCUUUCCUUACAAAAAAAAAUAAUAAAAAAAUAAAAAUAAUAAUCUAGUUAGUCUCGUUAAGGUUAAGAAAAUACAAGUAAUCUGGCUAGUAAGUCAAGUUAGGUCGGUUGAUUAACCUUAGGGACUGUUUGUGCAAAUUAGUAAAUUAAACCACAUGGACUGUUGUGCAAAUUUUGGAACUUGGAACUCUCAAUUAACCAAACGACGCACAGUACACAUAAAUUAUGAGUCUUCUUUUUUUUGCCGCUCGAUGCAUAUCCCCAUUCUUUUGUCUGCUCUUUUUCCUCUACAAAACUUACACACACAUGGUCAGCAUACAACAUCACAAGCAGGCCUCUCACCUCCCUCUCUCGACUGUAUACGGCCAGAAACCGACGACCGGAGAGAUUCCGGUGACGGCCGUCCGUAAGCCCUCACCACCACGGCACACCCCAACACCCGCAUAACACCGUAACAUCCUCCGAACCACUUCACGUUGACGGAGUUCAGUCGCAGUCACCGGAGACACCACAAGACACCUCAACCGUCGGAGACGUUGCCGGAACUCGGAUCCUCGCCGAAGUCGUUACGUCGGAACUCGGAUAACCAUUUCGUACUCUUGGAUUUCCCAAUCUUUUACCCGUGCGAUAUUUCACAAGGAAUAUCCAAGCGCAACCACUGUUAAUUAUUGAGACGAUAUUCAAGACGAAACAGGAUUUAGGGUGGACUAGAUACACACCUAGAUCAAUCUAUCUUUUAUUGUUAUGUUAUGAAACAAUGUUGUUAUUUCUUUUUGGAUCUCGUAUGACAUUUAGUAUUGCAAUGAAAUUUGAAUUUAAUUAAAUAUUGUCACAUAAUGUUAUGACGUCUCUUGCAAUCUAUACACACUUCGUCUCAUCCCGAUGUUUCCGCCAUCGGUUGGGGUGUGACAGAUUGGUAUCAGAGCCAUAACUAUAGGGAAUUAGGAAAAGUAGGAAUGCUUUAGCCUAGUCUAUAGUUUUAGAGCUUUAUUCUUAUGUUUUACUUGAAACUACUUGCAUGCUACCUUAUUUGCUCUUAUUUAUUCUCUUUUGAUCUUUUAAGCAUAUAUGUCGCUUAUGUGUUAACACUUGGCAUGCUAUACUUGCUUUAUUAUGUGCUAAUACAUGUUUUAUUGUCCCACUCAUUAUGUGCUAUUCUUGAUAUGCUUCAUUAUGCGUUUAUAUUUGUUUGUUUAUUCCUUUAACAUACUCUUUCCCUCAUACAUUUUACUUGAUUAUUCUAAAUCCAACAACACUCAUAUUAUACAAAUGGGACGAGUUUACCAAAAUAGGCGUGAAACCCACAACUUUGUAAACGACUCUCAUCCCACAUGAUUCUAUUUUUGCACGAAAUUCACCAUUUAGUUAGGAGUGAAAUCCACAUCUUGAUGGAAAUUUCAAAUUUUAAUUCUUGUGGACCCUCAUCAACGUGUCGAAAUUUGGUUUUGACCCGACGAGCACCAACCACAUUUAGGGUACAAAGUGGUCAAGCUAGGGGUGAAACCCACACCUCGUCGACUAGUCCCACUCCUUAAUUUUCAAAAAUCCCGCAAAGUCUCGAAUUUUCGAUGGAUUGGGAACACGUAGUAACUGGAAGGGUGAAUACCGUUAACCGAGAUAUCGGCGAGAGUAUUCCACCUAUUAGGCCAAAGCAUGUUUCUCAAUUUCCAAAAGAUCUUUCGACCACUUUGGUUAGUCAAUGUUCCGUUUGGAACCAUCCAAGUUUUAUUCGAGCUUACGCUUUAUUAUUUUCGAUCUUUUGUCAAUUUUGAACAAUUUUUCGAGAUUUCAUUUUUGCGCAACAUCAUACCCUUACUUUUCAUACGAUUAUACAUUAUUAGCAUGCAUGAUUUCACGUAAUUUUAUUCACGCUUUUAUAACAACGAGCGGAGACAUAUCAUCGAGGUAGGAGUGAUUUCCUUAACUAGACGAUUAACUCCACUUCUUUUUCUCAUCUUACAACGACCUCACCAAUGGGUUAGGGGUGAUUCCAUUACCUAGGUGAUCGUUACCGAUACUUUCUUUUAAUAGACUAUGUUAUGUAAACACGAUCAUUUAUACAUCUAAAUCGUUUAUCAUUAGUCAAAUCUCUAAUUAUUUCAAAAUGCAUUGUUUAUAUGAAUGAACUUCUUAUCCUACAAUCUAUUUUCAUAUAGCUCACACACGUAAAAUUUUUAACUUUUCCGUAGACACUUGUUUCUCAAUAUUCAAAAUUUCACGAAAUAUUACUCGUCAACUUAGUCGGUCUAACAAAUCCAUUGCCCACGAAUUUUGUAUUCAACGUAACUAUUAAAACAAGCUCAUCACAUAUCAUUAAACUAGAGAUUUCUAUUUUUAAUUGAGAAUCAAAUCAACUUUUUCGCACACACUUAUAAAAUAUUACCAGUAUUAUUUAAGCAUUUACUAAAAUCCUUUUCAAAACCAAUAAAACAUUUUUCAACAAUCACUAAGCUCGUAUACCAAAUUCCUUUUUCUAAGUAUCAACUUUUCCUCAAGAAUCUAUAAACUUCAAAACUUUCUAAUACAAAAGUUACUUAAAACGAUGCAAGCUUGUUAAUCCCAAGAACUUUUCAAAACCUCGCUCGAUACGCCAAUUAAAUUCAAAACACGCGGGCAAGGAAACUUCAUAAGAACCGACAAAUUCUCAACUAUGUAAAUUCUUUUUAAACCAUAAUAGCAUUUCCAUUCUUUUACAAAGUAUCCUUUCGCAUAAUCAAAAGAUGUUUUCUUUUAUAUUCUCCUUUCAUUCACAAACUAGAUUUUACAUUCCAUGACAACUCAAUCUAUUUUAACUUCACGUUUUGCGCGAACAACUAUAUAUGCAUAUCAUUUUACACGUUUUAGUCAAAACAUCACAACAAUCGCACGCAUAUGAUUUGUUUUCUUUUCCUUCCUACCCAAAACUUCGUGCUUAAAUUCGUAUAUUUCGAUUAAUAUUGUAAACAAAAAUCAUUAUUACUUACACUCAUACUUAUACGUUUUAUGUCUACACUCAUAUACAUACUUACACAUUUAUGUUAUAACCCAAAAUUCAUACAUCUUACGUUUAUACCAUACUCACAAUUGUAUAUUUACUUCAUACUUAUAUUCACGUUUAUAUUUGUAUCCAUGUUCAUACAUUUUACGUUUAUAUUCACACUCACACACUUUUCAUACUUAAACGUGUUUUACACUUAUAUUCACGUUCGUAAGCAUACUCAUGCAUCUUACGUUCAUACUCAUACUCAUACUUAUAAUCAUAUUCAUACUCACACGUUGUGUGUUCAUAUGUAUGCUCGUAUUCACACUCAUACUCGUAUUCAUACUCUCAUUUAUACGGUUUAUGCUAUACUCGUACUCGCGUUUAUACGAUUUCUGUUAUACUCGUACUUAUGUUUAUACUCUCAUUUAUACGAAUUGUGUUUAUACUCAUGUCAUUCGUUUGUGUUCAAAUUACACUCACAUUGGUACUCGUUUUUUUUUUCUUUUUUCAUAUGUGUCAUGUUUAUACUCGUAAUCAUACUAUUAACCAUGCGUUGUCGUUAUGCUUGCUUACGUCUUCAUAUUUAAAACUUACACCAUGCUCAUGCUUUUAUUCAUACUCAAAAAUUUAUACUUUUGCACCUAUAUGCGAGCGAAACCUGAGGGAUUCGCUUACGUUGACUUUAUACUAUUUGGAACGCAAACAUGCUUAUAUGCUACAUUUCUAUACCACAAUCUUAUUUUUAAAAUUUAUGUAUACCUUGAUUCAUACGCAACUAGUACAAGCUAUGCGGAUCAUGCGACGAUUAGUAUAAUCGCGGGUGCACACGGGAUUAUAGUAAUGGACGUAUGAGAACCAUAGAGUGUGCUACUGCGUAUGGUAAGACACUGAACGUAACAUGACACCGAAUACGAGACGGAUGGAACAUGGUUAGAACAUGGUGGAUACGCCACUGGUACAUCCUAUAUAUAAGUGUUUUCACCAUGUUACUAACCUUUCGUAAAACGUGCCAUGAGAAAUUCAGUGUUUUUCAAACCUUUGGACCUAAUUCAACUUUAAACAACUCACAAACGCAUCAUAUCCGAUUAUCCACGGCGAGACCUCAUUCUUAACAUCGCCUUCGUUCAUUCUGUACUUAUGCUAUUCUUAUGCUCGUAUUUGUGUAUCAAAAUCUAUUGUUCGCUUUUAUACUCCUCUCAUUCUCUAUUAUUCUUUGCCUUUUAUACAAACCCCAUUCGCUAUCUAGUUUGUUAAAACAUUCGAAUCCUAAGCUACCUCCUUACUUUUAAAACUAUCGUUCUAUUCCUUAGUGAUGUGCAAACACUUGUAACCGUUUCGUACAAAUUUUUCCUUCUUAAAUACGACACAUUCUAAUACAUCCCGAAUUUGGGUUAUUCAAAACUUGUUUAAACUCACUUUACCUAUAAACGUACUUACACGUUUUACUUAUGCUUAACGCCUCAACCCAUUUAGGCCAAACACACUCCUUUUACAAAACCUAUCAUUCCGUCCUUCAAAUUUCGUACUUUUCAAAAUGUUUCAGAACUUCCAAGUCUCAAUUUCAGGCAACCAUCCUUCUAACCGAAAUGCUUUUCUCCAAUAAAUUUCGGGACGAAAUUUCCUAAAGUAGGGGAGACUGUAACAUCCGUCAAAAUGGAUUGCCAAAAUCCGACCCGUUUUGAAUUUUGGAUUCUAACCCUAGAAGCCCGAGAGCUUCGCAAAAUAAUUAACCGUUUAAUUCGUUAUAAACUCAUUAGUUUAAUUAACUAAAUUGACUAAUGUUACAAUUAAAAGUCUUAUUUUCCUUUCCUUACAAAAAAAAAAUAAUAAAAAAAUAAAAAUAAUAAUCUAGUUAGUCUCGUUAAGGUUAAGAAAAUACAAGUAAUCUGGCUAGUAAGUCAAGUUAGGUCGGUUGAUUAACCUUAGGGACUGUUUGUGCAAAUUAGUAAAUUAAACCACAUGGACUGUUGUGCAAAUUUUGGAACUUGGAACUCUCAAUUAACCAAACGACGCACAGUACACAUAAAUUAUGAGUCUUCUUUUUUUUGCCGCUCGAUGCAUAUCCCCAUUCUUUUGUCUGCUCUUUUUCCUCUACAAAACUUACACACACAUGGUCAGCAUACAACAUCACAAGCAGGCCUCUCACCUCCCUCUCUCGACUGUAUACGGCCAGAAACCGACGACCGGAGAGAUUCCGGUGACGGCCGUCCGUAAGCCCUCACCACCACGGCACACCCCAACACCCGCAUAACACCGUAACAUCCUCCGAACCACUUCACGUUGACGGAGUUCAGUCGCAGUCACCGGAGACACCACAAGACACCUCAACCGUCGGAGACGUUGCCGGAACUCGGAUCCUCGCCGAAGUCGUUACGUCGGAACUCGGAUAACCAUUUCGUACUCUUGGAUUUCCCAAUCUUUUACCCGUGCGAUAUUUCACAAGGAAUAUCCAAGCGCAACCACUGUUAAUUAUUGAGACGAUAUUCAAGACGAAACAGGAUUUAGGGUGGACUAGAUACACACCUAGAUCAAUCUAUCUUUUAUUGUUAUGUUAUGAAACAAUGUUGUUAUUUCUUUUUGGAUCUCGUAUGACAUUUAGUAUUGCAAUGAAAUUUGAAUUUAAUUAAAUAUUGUCACAUAAUGUUAUGACGUCUCUUGCAAUCUAUACACACUUCGUCUCAUCCCGAUGUUUCCGCCAUCGGUUGGGGUGUGACAGAUUGGUAUCAGAGCCAUAACUAUAGGGAAUUAGGAAAAGUAGGAAUGCUUUAGCCUAGUCUAUAGUUUUAGAGCUUUAUUCUUAUGUUUUACUUGAAACUACUUGCAUGCUACCUUAUUUGCUCUUAUUUAUUCUCUUUUGAUCUUUUAAGCAUAUAUGUCGCUUAUGUGUUAACACUUGGCAUGCUAUACUUGCUUUAUUAUGUGCUAAUACAUGUUUUAUUGUCCCACUCAUUAUGUGCUAUUCUUGAUAUGCUUCAUUAUGCGUUUAUAUUUGUUUGUUUAUUCCUUUAACAUACUCUUUCCCUCAUACAUUUUACUUGAUUAUUCUAAAUCCAACAACACUCAUAUUAUACAAAUGGGACGAGUUUACCAAAAUAGGCGUGAAACCCACAACUUUGUAAACGACUCUCAUCCCACAUGAUUCUAUUUUUGCACGAAAUUCACCAUUUAGUUAGGAGUGAAAUCCACAUCUUGAUGGAAAUUUCAAAUUUUAAUUCUUGUGGACCCUCGUCAACGUGUCGAAAUUUGGUUUUGACCCGACGAGCACCAACCACAUUUAGGGUACAAAGUGGUCAAGCUAGGGGUGAAACCCACACCUCGUCGACUAGUCCCACUCCUUAAUUUUCAAAAAUCCCGCAAAGUCUCGAAUUUUCGAUGGAUUGGGAACACGUAGUAACUGGAAGGGUGAAUACCGUUAACCGAGAUAUCGGCGAGAGUAUUCCACCUAUUAGGCCAAAGCAUGUUUCUCAAUUUCCAAAAGAUCUUUCGACCACUUUGGUUAGUCAAUGUUCCGUUUGGAACCAUCCAAGUUUUAUUCGAGCUUACGCUUUAUUAUUUUCGAUCUUUUGUCAAUUUUGAACAAUUUUUCGAGAUUUCAUUUUUGCGCAACAUCAUACCCUUACUUUUCAUACGAUUAUACAUUAUUAGCAUGCAUGAUUUCACGUAAUUUUAUUCACGCUUUUAUAACAACGAGCGGAGACAUAUCAUCGAGGUAGGAGUGAUUUCCUUAACUAGACGAUUAACUCCACUUCUUUUUCUCAUCUUACAACGACCUCACCAAUGGGUUAGGGGUGAUUCCAUUACCUAGGUGAUCGUUACCGAUACUUUCUUUUAAUAGACUAUGUUAUGUAAACACGAUCAUUUAUACAUCUAAAUCGUUUAUCAUUAGUCAAAUCUCUAAUUAUUUCAAAAUGCAUUGUUUAUAUGAAUGAACUUCUUAUGCUAUUCUUAUGCUCGUAUUUGUGUAUCAAAAUCUAUUGUUCGCUUUUAUACUCCUCUCAUUCUCUAUUAUUCUUUGCCUUUUAUACAAACCCCAUUCGCUAUCUAGUUUGUUAAAACAUUCGAAUCCUAAGCUACCUCCUUACUUUUAAAACUAUCGUUCUAUUCCUUAGUGAUGUGCAAACACUUGUAACCGUUUCGUACAAAUUUUUCCUUCUUAAAUACGACACAUUCUAAUACAUCCCGAAUUUGGGUUAUUCAAAACUUGUUUAAACUCACUUUACCUAUAAACGUACUUACACGUUUUACUUAUGCUUAACGCCUCAACCCAUUUAGGCCAAACACACUCCUUUUACAAAACCUAUCAUUCCGUCCUUCAAAUUUCGUACUUUUCAAAAUGUUUCAGAACUUCCAAGUCUCAAUUUCAGGCAACCAUCCUUCUAACCGAAAUGCUUUUCUCCAAUAAAUUUCGGGACGAAAUUUCCUAAAGUAGGGGAGACUGUAACAUCCGUCAAAAUGGAUUGCCAAAAUCCGACCCGUUUUGAAUUUUGGAUUCUAACCCUAGAAGCCCGAGAGCUUCGCAAAAUAAUUAACCGUUUAAUUCGUUAUAAACUCAUUAGUUUAAUUAACUAAAUUGACUAAUGUUACAAUUAAAAGUCUUAUUUUCCUUUCCUUACAAAAAAAAAAUAAUAAAAAAAUAAAAAUAAUAAUCUAGUUAGUCUCGUUAAGGUUAAGAAAAUACAAGUAAUCUGGCUAGUAAGUCAAGUUAGGUCGGUUGAUUAACCUUAGGGACUGUUUGUGCAAAUUAGUAAAUUAAACCACAUGGACUGUUGUGCAAAUUUUGGAACUUGGAACUCUCAAUUAACCAAACGACGCACAGUACACAUAAAUUAUGAGUCUUCUUUUUUUUGCCGCUCGAUGCAUAUCCCCAUUCUUUUGUCUGCUCUUUUUCCUCUACAAAACUUACACACACAUGGUCAGCAUACAACAUCACAAGCAGGCCUCUCACCUCCCUCUCUCGACUGUAUACGGCCAGAAACCGACGACCGGAGAGAUUCCGGUGACGGCCGUCCGUAAGCCCUCACCACCACGGCACACCCCAACACCCGCAUAACACCGUAACAUCCUCCGAACCACUUCACGUUGACGGAGUUCAGUCGCAGUCACCGGAGACACCACAAGACACCUCAACCGUCGGAGACGUUGCCGGAACUCGGAUCCUCGCCGAAGUCGUUACGUCGGAACUCGGAUAACCAUUUCGUACUCUUGGAUUUCCCAAUCUUUUACCCGUGCGAUAUUUCACAAGGAAUAUCCAAGCGCAACCACUGUUAAUUAUUGAGACGAUAUUCAAGACGAAACAGGAUUUAGGGUGGACUAGAUACACACCUAGAUCAAUCUAUCUUUUAUUGUUAUGUUAUGAAACAAUGUUGUUAUUUCUUUUUGGAUCUCGUAUGACAUUUAGUAUUGCAAUGAAAUUUGAAUUUAAUUAAA